GUUCUUAUUACCCUUCUGAAUGUCACGCUGAUUAUUUUGACUUUGAGCGUAUCGAGGCUCUUAAACCUGCUAUUGAGGCUUGUGGCAUUUCUACUCUUUCUCAAUCCCCAAUGCUUGGCUUCCAUAAGCAGAUGGAUAACCGCAUCAAGCUCUUGGAAGAGAUUCUGUCUUUUCGUAUGCAGGGCGUUGAGUUCGAUAAUGGU
rnacentral:rRNA from 1 species